rnacentral:rRNA from 1 species
UACGUAGGGGGGCGAGCGUUGUCCGGAAUUAUUGGGCGUAAAGAGCUCGUAGGCGGUCUGUCGCGUCGGCUGUGAAAACUCGGGGCUCAACUCCGAGCUUGCAGUCGAUACGGGCAGGCUAGAGUUCGGCAGGGGAGACUGGAAUUCCUGGUGUAGCGGUGAAAUGCGCAGAUAUCAGGAGGAACACCGGUGGCGAAGGCGGGUCUCUGGGCCGAUACUGACGCUGAGGAGCGAAAGCGUGGGGAGCGAACAGG